rnacentral:rRNA from 1 species
ACUGAGAGGUUGAACGGCCACAUUGGAACUGAGAAACGGUCCAGACUCCUACGGGAGGCAGCAGUGGGGAAUAUUGGGCAAUGGGCGAAAGCCUGACCCAGCGACGCCGCGUGAGGGAAGAAGGUCUUCGGAUUGUAAACCUCUUUCAGCAGGGAAGAAGAAAGUGACGGUACCUGCAGAAGAAGUCACGGCUAACUACGUGCCAGCAGCCGCGGUAAUACGUAGGUGGCGAGCGUUAUCCGGAAUUACUGGGUGUAAAGGGUGUGUAGGCGGGGUGUCAAGUCAGAUGUGAAAACUGUGGGCUCAACCCACAAACUGCAUUUGAAACUGAUACUCUUGAGAGUGGGAGAGGUAAACGGAAUUCCUGGUGUAGUAGUGAAAUGCGUAGAUAUCAGGAGGAACACCGGUGGCGAAGGCGGUUUACUGGACCACAACUGACGCUGAGACACGAAAGCGUGGGGAGCAAACAGGAUUAGAUACCCUGGUAGUCCACGCUGUAAACGAUGAAUACUAGGUGUGGGGAUCGUAGGAUUUCCGUGCCGCAGUUAACGCAAUAAGUAUUCCACCUGGGGAGUACGGCCGCAAGGUUGCAACUCAAAUGAAUUGACGG